rnacentral:rRNA from 1 species
UAAUACAGGGGGGGCAAGCGUUGUUCGGAAUUACUGGGCGUAAAGGGUCUGUAGGUGGCCAACUAAGUCAGACGUGAAAUCCCUCAGCUUAACUGGGGAACUGCGUCUGAUACUGGAUGGCUUGAGUGUGGGAGAGGAAUGCGGAAUUCCAGGUGUAGCGGUGAAAUGCGUAGAUAUCUGGAGGAACACCGGUGGCGAAGGCGGCAUUCUGGACCAUAACUGACACUGAGAGACGAAAGCCAGGGGAGCAAACGGG